GGGCCCGCACAAGCGGUGGAGCAUGUGGUUUAAUUCGAUGAUACGCGAGGAACCUUACCAGGGCUUAAAUGUAGAACGACCGAUUUGGAAACAAGUCCUCUCUUUGAGCGGUCUACAAGGUGCUGCAUGGUUGUCGUCAGCUCGUGCCGUGAGGUGUCGGGUUAAGUCCCUUAACGAGCGCAACCCCUAUCUCUAGUUGCCAGCGGAUAAUGCCGGGGACUCUAGAGAAACUGCCCGCGCAAGCGGUGAGGAAGGCGGGGAUGACGUCAAAUCAUCACGGCCCUUACGUCCUGGGCUACACACGUGCUACAAUGGUCGGUACAAAGGGGCAGCUACCACGUAAGUGGAUGCAAAUCUCUAAAGCCGGUCUCAGUUCGGAUUGAAGUCUGCAACUCGACUUCAUG
rnacentral:rRNA from 1 species